GACGAACGCUGGCGGCGUGCUUAACACAUGCAAGUCGAACGAAGAGCGACGGAAGCUUGCUUCUAUCAAUCUUAGUGGCGAACGGGUGAGUAACGCGUAAUCAACCUGCCCUUCAGAGGGGGACAACAGUUGGAAACGACUGCUAAUACCGCAUACGAUCUAAUCUCGGCAUCGAGGAUGGAUGAAAGGUGGCCUCUACAUGUAAGCUAUCACUGAAGGAGGGGAUUGCGUCUGAUUAGCUAGUUGGAGGGGUAACGGCCCACCAAGGCGAUGAUCAGUAGCCGGUCUGAGAGGAUGAACGGCCACAUUGGGACUGAGACACGGCCCAGACUCCUACGGGAGGCAGCAGUGGGGAAUCUUCCGCAAUGGACGAAAGUCUGACGGAGCAACGCCGCGUGAGUGAUGACGGCCUUCGGGUUGUAAAGCUCUGUUAAUCGGGACGAAAGGCCUUCUUGCAAAUAGUGAGAAGGAUUGACGUAUCGGAAUAG
rnacentral:rRNA from 1 species